GUAGUUAAAACUUAGGUCUAGCUAGCAGGUCCGCCUUACCGCGUGUACUUGUCUAGCUGGGCCUUCCUUCUAGAGAACCUUAUGCCCUUUACUAGGCGUGUUACGGACUAAGACUUUUACUUUAAAAAAAAUUAGAGUGUUUAAAGCAGGCCUUUGCUGAAAUACGUUUGCCAUAGAAAAAUAGAAAUGAACGAGGAGUCAGUUUUAUUAAAUAUUAGGAAAAAUUAAAUAAUUAAUAAGAGACACAUGAGGGGGCACUCAUAACUUA
rnacentral:rRNA from 1 species